rnacentral:rRNA from 1 species
AGAGUUUGAUCCUGGCUCAGAACGAACGCUGGCGGCAGGCCUAACACAUGCAAGUCGAACGAGAAGCCGCCUUCGGGUGGUGGAGAGUGGCGCACGGGUGAGUAACGCGUGGGAAUUUGCCUUUCGGUACGGGAUAACGCCUGGAAACGGGCGCUAAUACCGUAUGAUGUCUACGGACCAAAGAUUUAUCGCCGAGAGAGGAGCCCGCGUAGGAUUAGGUAGUUGGUGGGGUAAUGGCCUACCAAGCCGACGAUCCUUAGCUGUUCUGAGAGGAAGAUCAGCCACACUGGAACUGAGACACGGUCCAGACUCCUACGGGAGGCAGCAGUGGGGAAUAUUGGACAAUGGGGGCAACCCUGAUCCAGCCAUGCCGCGUGAGUGAAGAAGGCCCUAGGGUUGUAAAGCUCUUUCGCCAGGGAAGAUAAUGACGGUACCUGGUAAAGAAGUCCCGGCUAACUCCGUGCCAGCAGCCGCGGUAAUACGGAGGGGACUAGCGUUGUUCGGAAUUACUGGGCGUAAAGAGUACGUAGGCGGCUUGCCGAGUUGGGUGUGAAAGCCCGGGGCUCAACCCCGGAACUGCAUUCAAAACUGGUU